CACAGUUUAAUAAUGUUUGAUUCCACCAGUAGGUGGUGAUACAUAGUUUAAUUUAAAAGCAAAGCCAUGGCGAGUUAUACAAAUCUUUGACCAAUCCAUUCACAAAAUAUAUACUGAACAAAAAUCUAAAUGCAACACGUAUAUUUUUGGUCAUAUUAUUUAUAAGCUGAGAAAGAAUAUAACGAAAUAUUCCAUAACACAGAAAAUAUCCCUCAAAUGUUGUGCACAAAUUGGUUUGUUCAGUGUACAAAAAUGUCAUAUCAUCCCUCAUUUGUGGGUUCUAGAUGAGCUGACAUUUCAAAGAUGUUCAGCUUGAUAUGUUUUACUUUUAUUUAAAAUCAGAACAGCAUAUACUGCAUGAAUCUCUUUAUUGUAAUAAGUGUAAACAUAAUUGCAAAUGGCUUAUGAAUGGUCAUGCAAAGCAAACCCUCAAAUAAUUUUUGUGUUUAAAUGUGUAUACCCUAUGUAUAUAGUUUGUCUUGUUUUUGUACACUGCAAUAUAAGAUUUUAAAACCAUUAUGCAAUGUGUGAAAUGACUCAUUAACUUGUUACUAGUCAAUUGCUUCAAAUUUACAAAACAUAUGCAGACUCUUCAACAUGUACAGGGGAAAGGCUAUAAACAAAGCAGGUUUGUUUAGUAUGCGAUUGCAGUUUCGCAAAAGAGCAAAAACUUACACUGGAAAGUUUAAUAAUGUAUUCAUCUCACAAGAAUACAACAUCUCAUAUAGGCCAUAGUGAAUAAUGGUGAAUAAAAAAAUAUGAUGGUACAUACUAAAAUGUUACUGCCUACCUAUGCUAAAAUCAUUACACAUACUUUGAGCUAUGCCACAUUUACAGUUUACAUCAUUCACUUCAAUCGUAAUUCUUUAAACAACUGUUAAAAAUGUAUUCCGGUGUUCAGCUAAGGCCCUGCAUAAGAAGUCAUUUGGUGCCAUCUUCUUUCAAUAUUCAAAGUCAGCAACAGUGCUUCAAUAGCAAUCAUACUGUGAUGAUACAUAUAUUAUACAUACACAGUACCAGUCAAAAGUUUGAACACAUCCACUUGACUGUGUAAAUACUCGGGUCGGCUCCAGACAUAUGCGACAGAAGCGGUCACUUAGGGCCCCCAACCACUAGGGGUCCUCCAACUGCUAGGGAGCCCCCAAACGUAAGGGGAAGGGGCCCAAAAUAAAACAUUUCUAUGGGCCCCCAAAAGGCUAGAGUUGGCAUUGUACAUACUUGUACUACUGUAUAUAAAACAGCAUUAAAACCCAAUCUAUUAUCUGAUUCCCCAGUCUUUAUAUAUAAUGCCCACUUUCCUGUGUUGCUGUAAGUGCCUCCUUGCCACCCUCUUGCAGUGGCAUGUUCACGUACUCCUCCUCCCUGGAAAGAGGAGCCUCAGAAUCAGCCUGUGAGGAACCUGUGGGGGUGCUGCUCGUAGGGGUGGAGCACAGCCCGUUUCCAAUGUUCACAGGAUAGUUAACGGUGAUGUUGACAUUAACCAGGGGGCUGGAUGGCAGGGAGCUGUUUGAUUGGCAGUUGCUGGGCUGGGGGGUGCUGACCAGGGUGCUGGGCUGUUGGAGGCUGGACUGGAGGGUGCUAGGCUGUUGGAGGCUGGACUGGAGGGUGCUAGGUUGUUGGAGGCUGGACUGGAGGGUGCUAGGCUGGGGGGUGUUGACCGGGGUGCCAGGCUGUUGGAAGGUGGACUGGAGGGUGCUAGGUUGUUGGAGGCUGGACUGGAGGGUGCUAGGCUGGGGGGUGCUGACCAGGGUGCCAGGCUGUUGGAAGGUGGACUGGAGGGUGCUAGGCUGGGGGGUGUUGACCAGAGUGCCAGGCUGUUGGAAGGUGGACUGGAGGGUGCUAGGCUGGGGGGUGUUGACCAGAGUGCCAGGCUGUUGGAAGGUGGACUGGAGGGUGCUAGGCUGGGGGGUGUUGACCGGGGUGCCAGGCUGUUGGAAGGUGGACUGGAGGGUGCUAGGUUGUUGGAGGCUGGACUGGAGGGUGCUAGGCUGUUGGAGGGUGGACUGGAAGAUGCUGGGCUGUUGAAGUGGAGACAGGGGGUCUACUGACAGGCCCUCCAGGCUGUUGAAGCACCCUGAUCCCAUUGUAGUGCCCUGCAGGGUCUCUGGCUGACUGGCCUCGUUGCUGCCUCCCAGAAGAAACGUCUUUUCCUGACAGAUGGUUUUGAUUGAACUGUUGCAAACAACUAAUGGCCCAUCACUAUCAAACUGAGAGAGAGCGAGAGAGACAGAGAGAGAAAUAAUUUGUUCAAGUUCAAGGAAUCAAAAUGUUCUUGUUCUUAGAUGUCAAAACAUAACUCACUUUAAUUACUGCCUUCUCAGAAUUCUCUUCUGUAGCUCGUCUGAACUGGAUGAUGGCUAUAAGAGAACAAUAAACAAUUCAUGCCCAGAUCUGCAAUAAAAUCUGGGUUUUUACAAUCAAGAUCUGAUCCGUACAGCUUUACCUUUCUUGCAAAGGACCAUGCCUAAGACCAGCAAGAAAAAACCUGUCAUUACUCCAGCAACUGGUGGGGGGACAACAACAUAGACAUGUUAGUAGGGAGACUGAAGCAGAGGAACAUUCAAAACAGGAGUGUGACUCAUGGACCACAUCUAGUAGCUCUCUGGAUUUACCCAUCCAUGGGUCAAAGCCUGGUGAUUUGCCUUCUGUCGAAGCGACGACCAGCCAGUCAGUGGAUGCCAGCUUUGGGACUAGUUUGGUUGGUAGAGUAGACAGGCUCUGCAGACUUGGCUGGGUGUGCCCCCUACCAGACGGCAGCGUUGUCAACUGUGGCCGUGAAGGUGUGGUGGUUUUCGGUGAUUCAUUUAUCUUCAGUCCACAUAUCACAUUUGAGCUGGCAUUACCGUAAGUCAGUAUGGGCCUUCCCUGAGACUUGCAGCUGUGGAGACAGUGUCAGUCUAAUUGUUACAAAAAACAAGAACUGUGUGUGUUUGUGUGUCUGAGAGAGAGAUCCAGGUUUAUGUGUAAAGGUGAGGUCCAAACGUACCCGCAAAGAUAGUAAAACUUGACAAAUCGGCCCUGAGAAGGUCCACAAUACAAUAGAAAGAGAAAUGUAUGUGUUUGUGUGGGUCUGCACGAAUGUGAUUGACUCACUCUGUGUAGGGCUGACAUGCCUGGGUGUAGGAGUGUUGGUCUGAGAAGGUUCCGUUGGGGCAGGUUUCACAUUUCACAUCUGAAUCUGCUGUCCCUGAAACACCACAAGACAUCAUCAUGUAAAUUCUCAGAGUCAAUUGUAACAUUCACCUUUUCACGAUAAUAUAAGCUUUACUUGUUGGUUAUGAAAAUACAGUACACAUGUUAACA
ensembl:lncRNA